rnacentral:rRNA from 1 species
UGAAUACGAGAUGCUACGGCGUCGAAGCAGUCUAUGUCAUACUUCCAAGAAAAGCUCGCACUGUCAUAAACAAAUAAUGCCUGUACCAUAACCGACACAGGUGGGUAGGUAGAGUAUACUAAGGGGCGCGAGAUAACUCUCUCUAAGGAACCCGGCAAAAUGACUCCGUAACUUCGGGAGAAGGAGUGCCUUAUUUAUAAGGUUGCAACAACAAGAUCCAAGCAACUGUUUAUCAAAAACACAGGUCUCCGCUAAGUCGUAAGACGAUGUAUGGGGGCUGACGCCUGCCCAGUGCCAGAAGGUUAAAGAAGUUGGUUAGCAUUCGCGAAGCUGAUAACUGAAGCCCUGGUGAACGGCGGCCGUAACGAUAACGGUCCUAAGGUAGCGAAAUUCCUUGUCGGGUAAGUUCCGACCCGCACGAAAGGCGUAAUGAUUUGGAUACUGUCUCGGAGAGGGGCUCGGUGAAAUAGACUUGUCUGUGAAGAUGCGGACUACCUGCACCAGGACAGAAAGACCCUAUGAAGCUUUACUGUAACUUGAGAUUGAAAUUGGACUUUACUUGCGCAGUAUAGGUGGGAGGCGUUGAUAAUAUUCUUGCGGGAUUAUUUGGGCCAUCAGUGAGAUACCACUCUUGUAAUGUUAGAUUUCUAACUUUGUAUCAUUAUCUGGUCAAAGGACAGUUUCAGGCGGGCAGUUUGACUGGGGCGGUCGCCUCCUAAACGGUAACGGAGGCGCACAAAGGUUUCCUCUGAACGGGUAGAAAUCGUAUCUAGAGUGUAAAGGCAUAAGGAAGCUUGACUGUGAGACCUACAAGUCGAGCAGGGACGAAAGUCGGUCUUAGUGAUCUGACGGUGCUGAGUGGAAAGGCCGUCACUCAACGGAUAAAAGUUACUCUAAGGAUAACAGGCUGAUCUCCCCCAAGAGUUCACAUCGACGGGGAGGUUUGGCACCUCGAUGUCGGCUCAUCGCAUCCUGGGGCGGUAGUACGUCCCAAGGGUUGGGCUGUUCGCCCAUGAAAGCGGUACGCGAGCUGGGUUCAGAACGUCGUGAGACAGUUCGGUCCAUAUCCGGUGUAGGCGUUAGAAUAUUGAGAGGAGCCUUCUUUAGUACGAGAGGACCGAGAAGGACAUACCUCUGGUGUACCAGUUAUCGUGCCAACGGUAAACGCUGGGUAGCUAUGUAUGGAGUGGAUAACCGCUGAAAGCAUCUAAGUGGGAAGCCCACCUCAAGAUAAG